rnacentral:rRNA from 1 species
AACGAACGCUGGCGGCAUGCCUAACACAUGCAAGUCGAACGAGACCUUCGGGUCUAGUGGCGCACGUGUGCGUAACGCGUGGGAACCUGCCCUUAGGUUCGGAAUAACUCCCCGAAAGGGGUGCUAAUACCGGAUAAUGUCUUCGGACCAAAGAUUUAUGGCCUUUGGAUGGGCCCGCGUUGGAUUAGCCAGUUGGUAGGGUAAAAGCCUACCAAGGCGACGAUCCAUAGCUGGUCUGAGAGGAUGAUCAGCCACACUGGGACUGAGACACGGCCCAGACUCCUACGGGAGGCAGCAGUGGGGAAUAUUGGACAAUGGGCGAAGGCCUGAUCCAGCAAUGCCGCGUGAGUGAUGAAGGCCUUAGGGUUGUAAAGCUCUUUUACCCGGGAUGAUAAUGACAGUACCGGGAGAAUAAGCUCCGGCUAACUCCGUG